rnacentral:rRNA from 1 species
GACGAACGCUGGCGGCGUGCUUAACACAUGCAAGUCGUACGGUAAGGCCCUUUCGGGGGUACACGAGUGGCGAACGGGUGAGUAACACGUGAGUAACCUGCCCACAACUUUGGGAUAACGCUAGGAAACUGGUGCUAAUACUGGAUAUGUGCUCCUGCUGCAUGGUGGGGGUUGGAAAGCUCCGGCGGUUGUGGAUGGACUCGCGGCCUAUCAGCUUGUUGGUGGGGUAGUGGCCUACCAAGGCGGCGACGGGUAGCCGGCCUGAGAGGGUGACCGGCCACAUUGGGACUGAGAUACGGCCCAGACUCCUACGGGAGGCAGCAGUGGGGAAUAUUGCACAAUGGGCGCAAGCCUGAUGCAGCAACGCCGCGUGCGGGAUGACGGCCUUCGGGUUGUAAACCGCUUUCAGCAGGGACGAAGCCUUUUGUGGCGGUACCUGCAGAAGAAGCACCGGCUAACUACGUG